rnacentral:lncRNA from 1 species
UUCACUGGUUCAGUUCUGCAUAAAUUCAGCAGCUGAUUCAUGCUGGAUACUGUACAAUGCCCCAGGGAUGUAAAGAUCACGAGACUGAGUCCCUGGCCCCAGAAGCUCCCAAGAUGGCCAGAGAGGACAGACUCAGAAGUGGAAAAUGUCCAUGGAUUCAUUAAGUACAUGGAGACAAAAAGGAGAGAUAUCCAACCCAGCCACUGGUGGCUCAGAGAAGGCUUCAGGAAGAGGGAGUCUUCUGAGAAUUGAGUCCUAAAGGACAAGUAGAACUUGACCUGGACACUGGCUGGGCUGACUGACUUCAGACUUCUCCCUGUGAAGACUUGUUCCUGAAUGUUCACUUCUGCAAACAAACUGUGACAGAGAGAGAAGACAGACUGAGCUCCUUCUCAAAGCACAUCAACAAGGGCACUUGAAUGUCAAAGCACAAUGUUUGGAGACAUGGGCCUCUCGACUGGACUUCAUGGUCAGUGGAAUGCAUAUCGUAUGCAAUGAGACUGAUGGAAAGGGCAGAUCAGAGAUAAUGUACCGGAAGAGGUCAAUGACAGCAUCAUGAAUCCAAGAAGCUUUGAAUCUCAAACAACCUAGAUGGGAGUGGAGUUGAUGUAGUCUAGACAUUUUCCUUGGAUGACUCACAAAGUAAAUCUAGUGACGACCAAAAAGAGACAUCAAGGAGGAAUUCUGGAAUUCUCUGCACUGAAGAAGAGAGAAUGUCAGGCUCUCCCAAGACGGAGGAGAUGGUGUGUCACUACACUGCUGAAUCACACACAUGAAAAACAAGCCCUCCAACCAUGUAGUAAUUACAAACACAUUGCAUGACAGUGUUCGUCAGCUCCAGCAAGUAGUCUUCGGAGAAGCAAAAUCCAGAAACUCUUCCACGGUUACAACAGGAAAGUAUUUCAGUGGUUUAAGUCACAAAUCUAAGGAAUGUAAAUGGCCAGACUAUUUAAAUUUCUAGACAGAGGAGAUUUGUAAUCAGUAAAUUUCUUACCCUCAGUUCCUCCUAGGGGCCCUCAUUUGUGUUAAUAUAAUUCUCAAUAGUAAGUCCCUUACCACUGAUAAUAUUUUCAGCAAUGCACGGCACCAACUCUAGGCUAUAAUGCAGCAGUACAAUUGGAGACGGGUACAAUCUGACCACAGAAC